ACGAGGGAUCCUAGCGUUGUUCGGAAUCAUUGGGCGUAAAGCGGGUGUAGGUGGACUUUUAAGUCAGGUGUGAAAUCCCAGGGCUCAACCCUGGAAGUGCACUUGAUACUGGAAGUCUUGAGUGUGGUAGAGGCUAUUAGAAUUCUUGGUGUAGUGGUGAAAUACGUAGAUAUCAAGAGGAAUACCGGAGGCGAAGGCGGAUAGCUGGGCCAACACUGACACUGAGACCCGAAAGCGUGGGGAUCAAACAGG
rnacentral:rRNA from 1 species